AAUUCGAUUGAGUUUGAUCAUGGCUCAGAACGAACGUUGGCGGCAUGGAUUAGGCAUGCAAGUCGAACGAAUCCCAGGGUAGCAAUAUCUUGGGGGAAGUGGCGAAAGGGGCAGUAAUACAUGGAUAACCUACCCUGGGGAUGAGCAUAGCCGUUCUAACGAGCGGGUAAUACCCAGCGAUUCGGCGAGUUGGCAUCAAUUUGCCGGGAAAUGAAUUUCGCCUCGGGAGGGGUCCAUGAGCUAUCAGCUAGUUGGCGGGGUAACGACCCACCAAGGCUUAGACGGCUAGCGGGUGUGAGAGCACGACCCGCGCCACUGGCACUGAGACACUGGCCAGACACCUACGGGUGGCUGCAGUCGAGGAUCUUCGUCAAUGGGCGCAAGCCUGAACGAGCGAUGCCGCGUGAGCGAUGAAGGCCUUCGGGUUGUAAAGCUCAAAAGGGAUGAGAAAGGGAAACUUGAUCGAAUCCCAGUAAGCUCGGGCUAAGUUCGUGCCAGCAGCCGCGGUAAGACGAACCGAGCGAACGUUGUUCGGAAUCACUGGGCUUAAAGGGCGCGUAGGCGGGUUCUCAAGUCCGGGGUGAAAUCCCACAGCUCAACUGUGGAACUGCCUCGGAUACUGGGAGUCUCGAGGGUGGCAGGGGUAUGCGGAACUAUUGGUGGAGCGGUGAAAUGCGUUGAUAUCAAUAGGAACUCCGGUGGCGAA
rnacentral:rRNA from 1 species